rnacentral:rRNA from 1 species
UGGGGAAUUUUGUACAAUGGGGGAAACCCUGAUCCAGCCAUCCCGCGUGUGCGAUGAAGGCCUUCGGGUUGUAAAGCACUUUUGGCAGGAAAGAAACGUCAUGGGUUAAUACCCCGUGAAACUGACGGUACCUGCAGAAUAAGCACCGGCUAACUACGUGCCAGCAGCCGCGGUAAUACGUAGGGUGCAAGCGUUAAUCGGAAUUACUGGGCGUAAAGCGUGCGCAGGCGGUUCGGAAAGAAAGAUGUGAAAUCCCAGAGCUCAACUUUGGAACUGCAUUUUUAACUACCGGGCUAGAGUGUGUCAGAGGGGGGUGGAAUUCCGCGUGUAGCAGUGAAAUGCGUAGAUAUGCGGAGGAACACCGAUGGCGAAGGCAGCCUCCUGGGAUAACACUGACGCUCAUGCACGAAAGCGUGGGGAGCAAACAGG